rnacentral:antisense_RNA from 1 species
CUCUAUGGUAGGGCGUAAUAGGCAACCCUUAGAGGUUGGCUGCUUACCAGUGAAGGCAGUUUUCCACCCUGUUACGUUCUACCGCCAAA